rnacentral:lncRNA from 10 species
CACAAACGGCUGCUGUCUCUGCUUGGUGCACCCCAGGCCUCGGUGACCUUCCUGAACACCCAGGAGAACCAGGCCAUGGCAAGGAGCCUCUGGGCUGUGCCUUCUUUGGGGAAAGAGCAAGAACCCUCUGACGAGAGCCAAAACCAACAAAAAUCCAACCAGCACACCAGAUAAGUAUUGAGGCGCUGCUAUGGGGGCCCUGCUAGGAGGAUUUCCCUGGACUCAACGGGUUCCUGUCCAAGGUCCUUUCAUUAUCCUUCUUCGCCGAUGGAGAACUGAGAUCCAGAGAGUUUAACUAACUCACCCAAGAUCACAUCAGCUACUGGGGUGGAAGUAGGAGCUGAUCCCAGACCAACUUGCUCAGGAAGAAAGGUUUUCUCCUGUGUUGGAUAUGGUAGAGCCUCCGUACAUACCAGGUUCAUCUGAAUUCUCAGCCUCAGCUGCGGUCACGCGCAUCACCAGCUUCUCACCUCCCAAAUCACACCAAAGAAGAAUAAAAUAGGCAUCCAUCGGAAAUUCCCGUCUGCUUUCGACACACAUUUUUGUAAAUGUUCGUUACAUCCUAGUAGGGGUGAGUGUGUGUCUAAGGCAGGCAUGUUGAUGGGGUUGGGGAAGUUAUGGCCCACCUUAAACGUAAUAACCUUGCGCAGUUCUUUGGGGGCUGCGAGUACACUACAGGCAUGAAUGUUCAGUCACCUGAUCUUCAUUCCAGACGCUAGGAAAAGCAGGCCGGUGUAAGGAAGAAAGCCUUUCAAAUUUGUAUUGGCUCCUAUUUAGUAUUUGUCAGGGUCCAGGGCUGCACUCCAGUGAACGCCUCACUUAGGAAAGAUUGGACACUCGACAGACCACAUAUUUAUCUCGCUCUCUGUCGGUCAGUGCGUUCCAAAGCCCAAGCCGUUAUGGAAAACAGGCUCGGAAAAAUGCAUAUUUCCCCCAACAUCUCAGACUAACAAGCUGCCCCUUCAGCAAAUAUCCUAUUGCCCCAGCCACGGGGAUCACCUUCAUGAUGCCCCCUCCCCAUCAGAGCGUAUAAAAGAGUCCCUAUGCUUCCCAUAGGCCUCAUGACCUCAUCUCUCCUGCACAGUCCACUUGGUGUUAAUGGGCCCAGUCAAAAGGCAGGACUGUUGGACGCCAGUGUUCCUUAUUCGACCAUCUGUCGAUCAAAGUGACCACACAAACCCCGCUUUGCCGUCGCAGUACCUCCACAGCAACGCCACGGUUCUCCCUCUUCCUCUCACACGCUUCUCCCCAUCCCACCUGGGUCCUGCCGCCUCCUCCCGAGAGCAAACGUGGAGCUAUUUGUCCAAGCGUCAUAUGCGAGCCGCAGGAGACGCUCAUAAAUCCCUGCCCUGUUCUCUGGCAGUUUCAGACGUUGUCGGGCCCAGACCCUCCUUUUCUUUCUUAAAGGUCACAAAAUCUAAUUAGAACCAUUGCUAACUGUAUAUUCUCGUUGUCGGUAAGCCUUAAAUAAUAAAAAUCAGACCAAAUGAGACUAAGCAAGGGAGAUGGAAAAUCGAUGUCAUAUUUGUUCCAAGUAAUUUCCCUUCAGAAGAGAAAAGGCUCUUAGGACUGGUUUGUGAAUUUAAAAGAUGUUUAAAGUUGCAUCUAGGCAUCGGAACAUCAAAGUCAACCCCAAACAGAAUUUCGCUGGAUGAUCUCUCCUUAUUCCCGGAAAAGUCAGUGCUGUUUGGUAGAAGGGCCUAAGACGGGGUGACAGCCUUCCUCUUCCUGUCUGUUUUAAGCAGUUGUGGCUUUGCCAAAAAUAAAAAUAAUUUCUUUGAAAAACCGAUCCCUUAAGGAGCAAAGAGUAAUAACAUACGAGGUUCUUUUCCCUUACUUCACUAUUUUUCUGCAUACUUUCAACUAAAAUGCACACUUAAGAAAAAAACCUAAAUAAUAAGAAUGCAACCCGCACACACUCACACAUGCAUAGUGAGGACGAGGAAUGAACUGCCCCUGGAAAUGCUUAUCUUUUUGCCUGAAAUACCCCAAAAAGGUUGAUUAAC